GACUCCUCCGUGGAUUGGGAGAAGCGGUCAUUCAGAUCUCUCAGCUCGGAGGCGGACUUAAAAAGAUCUACUUUAAGCUCCUGAAUUUGUGAUUCAGAAGCCACCGCAUUGCCAAUCUCCGCGUUCAACUGCACCUUCAAUUUCCUUCAGAGCAUUAGUAAGACGCGAUUCAGAUGCCUUCAAAGAAUCACGUUCUUGGCGAAGGGCAGAAAUCCCAAGUCUGUGUGC
rnacentral:lncRNA from 1 species